rnacentral:rRNA from 1 species
CCUACGGGGGGCAGCAGUCGAGAAUCAUUCACAAUGGGGGAAACCCUGAUGGUGCGACGCCGCGUGGGGGAAUGAAGGUCUUCGGAUUGUAAACCCCUGUCAUGUGGGAGCAAAUUAAAAAGAUAGUACCACAAGAGGAAGAGACGGCUAACUCUGUGCCAGCAGCCGCGGGAAUACAGAGGUCUCAAGCGUUGUUCGGAGUCACUGGGCGUAAAGCGUGCGUAGGCUGUUUCGUAAGUCGUGUGUGAAAGGCGCGGGCUCAACCCGCGGACGGCACAUGAUACUGCGAGACUAGAGUAAUGGAGGGGGAGCCGGAAUUCUCGGUGUAGCAGUGAAAUGCGUAGAUAUCGGGAGGAACACUCGUGGCGAAGGCGGGUUCCUGGACAUUAACUGACGCUGAGGCACGAAGGCCAGGGGAGCGAAAGGGAUUAGAUACCCGGGUAGUC